rnacentral:rRNA from 1 species
UACGUAGGGUGCAAGCGUUGUCCGGAAUUAUUGGGCGUAAAGAGCUCGUAGGCGGUCUGUUGCGUCGGCUGUGAAAACCCGGGGCUCAACCCCGGGCCUGCAGCCGAUACGGGCAGACUAGAGUUCGGCAGGGGAGACUGGAAUUCCCGGUGUAGUGGUGAUAUGCGUAGAUAUCGGGAGGAACACCUGUGGCGAAGGCGGCUUUCUGGGCCUUACCUGACGCUGAGACGCGAAAGCGUGGGGAGCGAACCGG